AACAUAGACACUCUUCACUGUUAACAUAUUUUGGCGAGCUAGCCAGGAGGAAGAGAUAAGCCCAAAGUCUGGGAUUUAUUCUUCUCCUUUCUCCUUUUCCUUUCUGCUCCAAACAGGCGAAUCUCUUUCUCUCUCUUUUCCUUUCCAACCUGGGACCCUUGGUGGGCAGCACCUAAACAUGGAAGCAACUGCAGGUUUCUGGCCAUGGUCAGUGAAACUAAGGGGUUUCCACAGGCAAAGCCCAACCACCACUGCCCAAUUUGCUUAAGGAAUCUGGGUCUUUUUCAUUUUUUUACUCUUCUUUUUUUUUUUUUUUUUCCGUCUUUCAAUGGCUGUUUCCUAGUAGCUCCUUGGAAACUGAGGACAAUUGGCUGAGGUCACUCCCCAGUGUUGCCUGAAGGCCUAGGAACAAAUGGGAAUAAUUGCCCUACCCAGAAGGGGAAAGGACUUUUUAAAAAUCUUUUCCACACCUGGUCCCUGAUUCCUAUGUGUGGUGCAGUUUGGAGCAAACUACCUGUUUCAGGUGACUCAAACUUUCUUUUCUUAUGCUAAAUUCUUCACUUCCCCUAUUCAACUGGCUAAGGGCAAAGGAAACCCACCAAGCCUCCAGUUCCUGUCAUUAAAGUUUAUGGAAUGGGAUAAGUUAUGGAAUGGGAUUUGAUAAGCGUGGCCUUAUCAAAUUAUAAGGAUGCUAAAAGUCGAGUUUUACACCCAGGAAACAGCUCACAGUAGGCUCUGGAGGGAAUGCAUGCAAAGUGGCACCGGUGCCCACCUAAGGCCAAGAGACAUCUGGAACUCUUAAGAUUGAACCCCACAGGAGGACACUCGGAGGGGAUCAUCCGGAACUCAAACUUUCCAAAGAAGAUGCUCUCUGCAGAGAGACCAUCGAGCUUCAGAUGAUCACUCAACAAAGGCUCCAGCAAGUUCCAGGUGAAGACACCACCCCUGGCCAUCAAGGAGCUACCCUGCCUCCACUAGACACAGCAGGAAGCCAUUGGCUGCUCUUUGCAAGGAAUCCUUAGACAGACCUCUGGGAGGAAUCUGACUACUGUUUUCCCCAAAACAAUACGCCAUCAGCAGGAAGCGGCUAAGACCAGUCAUCAUCCAUAUUUUAAAGGCAGUUACACGUACUUCUUCAGAGGGGGAAAAUGAUAUGGAAGGGAGGAAGGGAAUUGCUGGGAAGGGAAGGGCAUGGUCCCUUUAAAUGAUGCGGAAGGGGUAAAGGGCAUGGUCCCUGGCUAGGGCUCCACUCCCGGGCCUGUACCCAUGGACCUAGGUGAGGACAGGAAUUUUUGUUUUCCACCCAAAUGUUGCAUUUCCCAAGACCACCCUGGCCUGCCACACCCCCAUCCUGUGCCUAUAAAAACCCCAAGACCUUAGCAAGCAGACACACAGGCAUCUGGACGCCAAGAGGACCACACCAGCGGAGGAACGCACCGGAAGCUGGACUUUGAGAGGAACGCACCAAUAGGCACCAGCAUGCCGGCAGGCCACCGACCGGCAGAAAGAUGCAGAGUUUGGCCAGGGCAGUCGCAGGAGAGCCCAGGCCACCAAGCAGCCCAACUCCAGGGGAAAACCAUCUUCCUUCUUGCUCCCCCGUCUGCUGAGAGCUACUUCCAUUCAAUAAAACCUUGCACUCAUUUUCCAAGCCCA